AGUGAACGCUGGCGGUAGGCCUAACACAUGCAAGUCGAACGGCAGCACAGUAAGAGCUUGCUCUUACGGGUGGCGAGUGGCGGACGGGUGAGGAAUACAUCGGAAUCUACUUUUUCGUGGGGGAUAACGUAGGGAAACUUACGCUAAUACCGCAUACGACCUACGGGUGAAAGCAGGGGAUCUUCGGACCUUGCCCGAUUGAAUGAGUCGAUGUCGGAUUAACUAGUUGGCGGGGUAAAGGCCCACCAAGGCGAGGAUCCGUAGCUGGUCUAAGAGGAUGAUCAGCCACACUGGAACUGAGACACGGUCCAGACUCCUACGGGAGGCAGCAGUGGGGAAUAUUGGACAAUGGGCGCAAGCCUGAUCCAGCCAUACCGCGUGGGUGAAGAAGGCCUUCGGGUUGUAAAGCCCUUUUGUUGGGAAAGAAAAGCAGCAGGUUAAUACCCCGCUGUUCUGACGGUACCCAAAGAAUAAGCACCGGCUAACUUCGUG
rnacentral:rRNA from 1 species